UUUCACCUUCAUCUCGCUGUUCUACUGGUUUACAGCAGAAAUUCCGGCAGAGUCGUCGGAAUUGGCCGCCGGAGGUCGCUAUACGGUCGAUAUGUGGCCGAUAAGUGCCAACAGAAAAUCGGCGCUAUAUCGGUGGUUCUCGGCGAUAUUAUCGGUGACCGAUAUAAGGGCCGAUAUAUGAAACCGAUAUUUGACUGGAGGUCCGAUAACCGCUAUAUCGGCGAUAUAGCACCGGGAUCUCGGCCGAGUUAACUGC
rnacentral:lncRNA from 1 species